UGUGCCUACGGGGCGCAGCAGUGAGGAAUAUUGGUCAAUGGGAGAGAUCCUGAACCAGCCAAGCCGCGUGAGGGAAGACGGCCCUAAGGGUUGUAAACCUCUUUUGUCGGAGAACAAAACCCGGGACGUGUCCUGGACUGCGUGUAUCCGAAGAAAAAGCAUCGGCUAACUCCGUGCCAGCAGCCGCGGUAAUACGGAGGAUGCGAGCGUUAUCCGGAUUUAUUGGGUUUAAAGGGUGAGUAGGCGGUCCGUUAAGUCAGCGGUAAAAUUGCAGGGCGCAACCCCGUCUAGCCGUUGAAACUGGA
rnacentral:rRNA from 1 species